rnacentral:rRNA from 1 species
AUUGAACGCUGGCGGCAGGCCUAACACAUGCAAGUCGAACGGUAACAGGGAACAGCUUGCUGUUUCGCUGACCAGUGGCGGACGGGUGAGUAAUGUCUGGGAAACUGCCUGAUGGAGGGGGAUAACUACUGGAAACGGUAGCUAAUACCGCAUAACGUCGCAAGACCAAAGAGGGGGACCUUCGGGCCUCUUGCCAUCGGAUGUGCCCAGAUGGGAUUAGCUAGUAGGUGGGGUAACGGCUCACCUAGGCGACGAUCCCUAGCUGGUCUGAGAGGAUGACCAGCCACACUGGAACUGAGACACGGUCCAGACUCCUACGGGAGGCAGCAGUGGGGAAUAUUGCACAAUGGGCGCAAGCCUGAUGCAGCCAUGCCGCGUGUAUGAAGAAGGCCUUCGGGUUGUAAAGUACUUUCAGCGGGGAGGAAGGGAGUAAAGUUAAUACCUUUGCUCAUUGACGUUACCCGCAGAAGAAGCACCGGCUAACUCCGUGCCAGCAGCCGCGGUAA